rnacentral:ncRNA from 1 species
CAAUAGGCGUUGAAAGAGAAAGUAUUUUCCGAAUUUAGGUUCAGCGAGCCGGGGGCGGUGGAAGCCCGGCCCAUAGAUUGGAAAUGAAAAUCACUCUAGAGCCGGAUGGCGGAAUUGCAGUACGUCUUCCCGGAAACACCCCGUUAUGGUGUCUGAGUGGCAGCAGGAUCUAUCUGUUGCAAGUAGGGUGGUAACGCGAGAAUUAGGCCUCGUCCCUUUU